UACGUAGGUGACCAGCGUUGUCCGGAUUUACUGGGCGUAAAGAGCGCGCAGGCGGUCGUUCAAGUCGAGUGUGAAAGCCCCCGGCUCAACUGGGGAGGGUCACUCGAUACUGAUCGACUUGAAGGCAGGAGAGGGAAGCGGAAUUCCCGGUGUAGUGGUGAAAUGCGUAGAUAUCGGGAGGAACACCAGUGGCGAAGGCGGCCUUCUGGACAGUGACUGACGCUGAGACGCGAAAGCGUGGGGAGCAAACAGG
rnacentral:rRNA from 1 species